UCAGCGAAAAAAACAAACAAA
ensembl:piRNA 21ur-8237 ncRNA